rnacentral:rRNA from 1 species
CCUACGGGUGGCAGCAGUGGGGGAUAUUGCACAAUGGGGGAAACCCUGAUGCAGCGACGCCGCGUGGGCGAAGAAGUAUUUCGGUAUGUAAAGCCCUAUCUGUAGGGAAGAAGAAAUGACGGUAUCUGAGUAAGAAGCACUGGCUAAAUACGUGCCAGCAGCCGCGGUAAUACGUAUGGGGCAAGCGUUAUCCGGAUUUACUGGGUGUAAAGGGAGCGCAGGCGGGACGGCAAGCCUGAUGUGAAAGUAAGCGGCCCAACCGCAGGACUGCAUUGGGAACUGCCGGGCUGGAGUGCGGGAGAGGUAGGCGGAAUGCGUGGUGUAGCGGUGAAAUGCGUAGAUAUUAGGAGGAACACCGAUGGCGAAGGCAGCCUACUAGACGAUAACUGACGCUGAGGCUCGAAAGCGUGGGGAGCAAACAGGAUUAGAUACCCUUGUAGUC